CCCUAGCAAGCUCAUGCAGUACUGAGGUCUGAUGAGAGAGAAGAAACAUGCUUUGGUAGGAGACUAAUGUCUCUCCAGUAAGCUGAUCCCCUCAGUGUUUCUCACCAUAUGCCUUUCUCCAGCUGCCCUACCUCUUGAUGCUUCCGCCAAGCCAGAUACUCUCUAGCAUCUUACCCUGUGAGCAGAAGUUUUUUGGGAAAGUGCUUCCUCCAUCUUGCACAGUUCGGGAGUCUCUGGAGUGGCGAAUCGGCUGCAGUUUUAAAUGGUGACAGCCACCAGGCUCCACAGAAAGACCAGCCAAGCCCCUGAGAACUCUCACCUCAUUGGGCACUCAGUGAGGACUGUCCCUCGCUUUUCUAACCCACCCUCCCUGGGAGCUGCGGCAAUCUGGCCCUGAAUGUAAUUUCUCCCCAUUUUCAUUGGAGGUAAAUGUGGCAUGCAAAAUGCAUUUUUAGUGACUGAGAUCUGCAUUUAAGCAUUUUUUCCCAUCUUUGCUGGGUCAUUAAGCCUUUAAAUUCAUCAAUAUUUCAAUGAUUUUUGUAGUCUAGUGAUGAAUAGAGUUGUUUAGGUUUUCAUUCUCUCCAUGCUCCCUUGCCUGUAAGAUGCUUCAGCAAGAGCUCACCAAAGGGUAACUGAACACAUGUGCUGUUCUGAAUGGAUUCUUUCCUGGCAGCCCAACUCCAGCAGAUCGCAUCACACCCAGGCUCAGGAUCUAAGGACUGUGAGGAUGGUUCCAGUGACCCUUGGAAGUCCAGUCAGAAGUUGGCAUGUCAUAGAGACCGUGACACCAUUUCUACCAGGACCACCUUCACUCCUGCCCCUCCUCCCCCAGCCCCGCCCCCAGUGUUAGCACAGAGUCUUGUCUCUACACUGGAUCCCCAGGUGAAGGACUGGCCUGUGUCUUAGGGGCUGUGCUAGAGCUGCACUAAGUCUGGCUGGUUCUUUGAUGAGAAGGAGGCGGGAGCCAAGACCCACCAGGAACAGCAGAUUCAUGUCCCUUCACUGAGUGGAAUAGCAGGCAGAAUUGUCGGCAUGAUAUAAACAACUCUUUCUCUCUGUUAAUUUUACUUUUGUUGAACACAUGGCAAUUUACAGCAUGGCUGGACACAAUAUGGCAGAUAGAGCUGCAGAUUGGAGUUGCAAAGUCAGUUCAGCCACAAGCAUUUUGGAGAAUGCUAAGGCAAAGGGACAUAGGUCAGAGACUUUUUUCUUUUUAUUUGUUUCCACUUGGUCCAAGGCUUGGGCAAGGGCUCCAGGGUAGUUUAAAAGCUGCCCAGUGGCUGCAGCAUGAGGCACAGGCAGAAGACCUGACACUGGAAUGGGGGGGUGGGAGGUAGGAGUUUGGGGUGCACAGGGGCUCCCCAGAGCUCCCUGGGCUCAGGAGGCUGCCAGUCAUGCUUGAGGGUGAGCCUUUAAAGAGCUCCUUGCUCAGCCCCACCUGGAUGCUGCCAGUCUGGGAGAUUAGUCACCUGGCCGCCCAUCUUCUUGAUGAGUUUCACCUGCUCAUCUAGGACGAGGUUCUCCAGGAAGUCAGAGCUGGGGCUCUGCACAGGCAGGACCCAGGGCAGGCAGACCCAAAUGGCCAGGUUCAGGUUCUUCUCCCCGACUGUGGUGGCUUCCAUGCUCCAUGCUGUCUAGGCUUUCACCUCACUCAUCUUGGGGACAGCUUCUGCACGUCCUGGAAGAGGGUGAGGCCACUGUGCUGGUUUUGCAUCUUUGAGAGACGCUCAGGGCCCUUACGCUUCUCCUCGACUCACUCAUGGAAGAAGUGGCCCAGGCCCUCCAGCACCACAUCAUUGCGGUGGAAAGACGCCCAUGGAGAGGGCCCCCUCCUUCCCAGCCAUGCAGUUGAGAGGAAUUAACCUAACCGAAGUUUUCUGGGUGGAGUUUGGCAGGAGUCUCCAUUGCCAGUAAAAACCCGCUUGGCCACUUGUGUAGAAAGAGGAAUUAAUAUUUGAAUACUCAACUGACUGGUUCUUCUUGGGAGCAAGUAGCCAAGUAAAUAACCAAGGGAGAACAAGGGAAGGAACAAAAUGGCAGCAAGCCCAAAGGAGACAUGCCUCAAUCAUCCUGCAGCACCCUGGACGUGGCCAUGGGAUGACAUCCUCCCUCCAGCGCCCUGCCAUGGUACACAGAACGAGCCUCCGUGCGGGAGGAAGGAUACUGGCUGAUUUCGGCUGUGCCUGGUCCAAUCUUGGCUUACCUCAGACGGAGUUCUGGCUGCCUCACUUUCAAUAUGUUGCCGCCUUCCCUGAGAACUCAGAGAGGUCACAUCCACAUCAGGACUUCAGCGCCAGACCCUCCCACUGCCCACCCUUUGCUACCUUUUCUCUCACUUUGUACCGACUCCUCUUGCUAAUUCUCCUUUGUGUGUUUGGAGACCGUCUCUCACCACUUUCACUCAGAUGACCUACUAAACUAUUUUCUCUGCUCAGGUUGUUAAACUAGAAGUUACAGUGGUCUUGAGUCUUGGUUAAGCUUGAUUAAGAUUAAGCUUUAAGUUCAUCAUAGUCUAUGCUGGUUUAAGUGAUGAAUACAGAUGUGCCCCCAGAGUGGCCAAGGGCUGUGCCACGAAAAUAAUAUGCUUUUCAGGAGCGCAUCUUCUCCCCCCUAAAUAUGUGAGGAUGUGUUUGCACCAAAGAUAGAGCAGGGUGUUCAGGGCACAGAUCUGAUGGGGAGGAUCAUGUUCAGGAAAACCACCUUUAGAGCAAACUCGCGAUUCUAUCCAGUUCUCCUUACACCUUGUUUCCUCACAAAAUUAGGCAAAUUCUAAUAGCUAUAGACUUUCGGUAAUUCCUUAGCCUUUCAGAUUUUGCCAUGUAACAGUGUGAUUUCUGCGUUAGCCUGAGUACAGUACUGCAUUCCCUUCUGAGCCUGAGGGGACACCCAUAUGAGUCUUAAAUUUCCAACAAGUGACACUUUGCCUGACUCUACUCUGUUAAAGACUCUUUUGGAAAUCAAUUCUAUAACGUAGUGUAGUACGUUAUAGAAUUCUGGUAAUUAGGAGUUCCCACUGUGGCUCAGCACUAACGAACCCAACUAGUAUCCGUGAGGAUGAGAGUUCAAACCCUG